CUACGGGUCGCAGCAGUGAGGAAUAUUGCACAAUGGGGGGAACCCUGAUGCAGCAACGCCGCGUGGAGGAUGACGCAUUUCGGUGUGUAAACUCCUUUUAUAUGUCAAGAAAAUGACGGUAGCAUAUGAAUAAGCACCGGCUAACUCCGUGCCAGCAGCCGCGGUAAUACGGAGGGUGCAAGCGUUACUCGGAAUCACUGGGCGUAAAGGACGCGUAGGCGGGUUGGAAAGUCAGGUGUGAAAUCCUACAGCUUAACUGUAGAACUGCACUUGAAACUUCUAAUCUAGAGUAUGGGAGGGGGAGAGGGAAUUAGUGGUGUAGGGGUAAAAUCCGUAGAUAUCACUAGGAAUACCUAAAGCGAAGGCGAUCUGCUGGAACAUUACUGACGCUAAGGCGUGAAAGCGUGGGGAGCAAACAGGAUUAGAUACCCGAGUAGUC
rnacentral:rRNA from 1 species